rnacentral:lncRNA from 1 species
UCUUUUUUUUUUUUUUUUUUUCCCCCCGGGGCUGGGGACCGAACCCAGGACCUUGCGCUUCCUAGGUAAGCGCUCUACCACUGAGCCAAAUCCCCAACCCCUUCCCUCAGUUCUUAACUGAAGCAAAUUGUUUUUAUUGGAGAUGCUCCUGUUUGUCAGGGUUGAUGUAAUAUAUAAGAACAUAUUUUACUUUGGCUAUUAUAAACCCUCUCAAAUUCUUGACAACUGUGCUACAUAAUCACAUUUAUGCUGUGAGAGUUGUAGCUUCAGUUACAGACAUUUGUUUGAAUGUUGCUCAAAUGUAUGGAAGUUGCUAUCAGAAUCACCCUGGUCAUCCGAGCACUUUUAGGCAAGGAACAGGGUUGACCUCUGAAUAAGACCUGAGAGUCCUACUGACAUUUCCCCAUAGUUUUCCUGGUAAAUUAAGACAUAGUAUGUAUGUAUGUAUGUAUGUAUGUAUGUAUGUAUGUAUGUAUGUAUGUAUGUGAUAUUUGCGUGGUGCUGAGAAUUAAAGUCAGGGCCUAAUGAAUACUAGGCAAGUGUUCUACUAUGAAGAUGAGCUUCAUCUUCUGCCUGUAAUGUGAGGUGUAUGUGUUUGUUUUUAAGGUUCUUCUGAAUCCAAACUUACUUUUAGAUGUCUGACCAAAAUUUGCUCAAUUGCAUUUUGUAAUUUAUGAUUUAGUGAACUUUUUGAGUAAUUCUGUCUUGAAAUCUUGCUGGAGAUAACAAGUAGUUUUCACAAGCGGCUAGCUGACGUGAUACUGCACGCCUAUGUUUGGUUUGUAUUUACCACAUGUCGUACGGUAGAAACAGGCUUUGAGGAUGAUGAGCCUGUCAGAGGGAAAAGGUACCAGGACUUACCCAGUGUCUCCAGGAAUGCUUUAGGAAACCCUAGAAUCAAGGAAGCAACAGCAGCACCACUAACCAAACUUCAGAAACAUUUCGUUCCCAAAGUUAUUUAAAUACAAUAGUUUACACAUGAAAUUAACCUUGUGAGUUACAAAAAUUAAUUUUGUAAGUUGGGGAAAAUGGCAUUAAUCAAAAGCACUCCCUUCGGCUGUCCACUGGCUCAGCAGGUAAAGGUGUUUGCCACCAAGCCUGACAACCUGAGUUUAAUCUCUGGGCCCCACAUGAUGGAAAGAGAAAAUAUAAGUUGUCCUUUGACCCUACACGAGUCAUGGAAUGUAUGCACGUAUGAGCACACCCUCAUGCAGAAUAGGUAAAUAGUAAGACAGCAGUCUUAAUCAAAAACCCAUCGACAGAAAUAAAACAUGGCACUUUUACAGGUAUGCCAUGUAUAAAAAGGCUAGUUGUAUAAUACAUUUCCUAAUAGCCAGGCUAAUAAAUAAGGUAAGUUUUACAGUUAUCAAAUAUAUAAGUACUAGUCUUAUGCUUCCAUUUCUUCUGUUGUAAAAUACAGGGUGAUUAUCUUAGUUACUGUUGUACAGCUGUGAAAAAACACCAUGACCAGGACAGGGUAUAGAAAGAGCAUUUCAUUGGGGGCUUUUUUAACAGUUCCAGAGGGUUAGUCCAUGAUCACCAAGGCAAGGUGUGUGUCAGCAGGCAUGCAUGGUGCUGGAACAGUAGCCUAGAGCUUACAUAGGCAAGAGGCAGACAAAAAGAGACUGAGUCAGGCUUGGACUUUUGAAACCUCAGAGCCCACCCCUAUGACACACCUCCAACAAGGCCACACCUCCUAACCCUUCCUAAACAAUGCCACUAACAAGGGGACCAGGUUUUCAUGCAUAUGAGUCUGUGGGGUCCAUUCUUAUUAAGACCACCACAGUAAUUAUUCAUAUAUCUAAAAGCUAUACACUUUGUUGAACUUCUGAGACUAGGUCUUGCAAUGUAGAAUGAGCUGGGCUCAAACUCAGAUCCCUUUUCCUCAGUCUCCCUAGCACUGGGAUUAAAGGCAUGUUCUUGGCACAUGUGUACCCUCAACCUAUUACAUACAGAACACCCAAAGAAAAGUCAACUCCAAAUUAAGUUAAAUAUAUGGGGUAAUUUCUUCCUUAAAAUUUAGGAAAAUAAUGUCACUGUGAUCUUAGAUUGAAGGGAGAAGGGAGCUUAUUGGAGAAGACAUUUAAAGCAGUAACCAUUAAAGUUCUAUAAAUUUGCCAAUAUUGGGCUAGCAAGAUACCUCACUGGGUCAAGGUACCUACCACUGAGCUGGCUGACCCGGAAUUCAGAAUCUACGUGGGAGACUGAGAGAACCAGCCCUCACAUAUCCUGUAACCUCCAUGUGUGCCAUGAAAUGUGUGUCCAUCCCACACAAAAUCUAAUUAAAAAUUAAAUUUUGCCUAUGCUGAAA